rnacentral:lncRNA from 1 species
GGAAUGCCCGCGGCGGAGGGAGGGCACGUUGGCCACAAGCCCAGAGCAGCUGCUGCUGCUGCUCGGAUUCCGCCCGCCUUCCCCUCCCUGGGACUCUCGGUUUGCAGCCGGAGAUUCAAGAACUGGCUUGGAUCCCUAAGGGCAUGGAAGGCCUCCUCUGCUGGUGGAAGGAAGUCUCUGACAAUGGUGAGAGUUUUCAAGAGAAGCUUAUUGCUAAGGGGGUGGGGGAGAUAAUUGAGCAAUCAUGUUUGGGAUUGAUUACUGGGUCUGAAAGCGCAGUGGAAUUUCAAUGCUAUGUCUCCUCACAGAGCUCACAGCCGGAUCCAGGAGAACUACCCAUAAACACACAGCUGUGAGGGCCCAGCAGGACUUUGUAAACCAUCUAACCUGGUGAAUCAAGGAAGACUUCCUGGAGGAAGAGAUAUUUAGGCUGAGAUCAGAAAGUCUCAGUAAAGUAAGAAUAAUCAGGUGAAAGGUUAGGGGUGGGAGAGAGAAGAUGGUUUUGUUUCAGGGUAAACAGAUGGAGCAAAGACCUGGAAGGAAGAUGCAACACAGCGGUCUAGGGAGCAGAAAAAUAUCUUUAAAUUAAUUUUUUAAAUUUGGCCUGGCCCACGACUUUUGGAAGUUCCCCAGGCCAGGAAUCAAACCAGCGUCACAGCUGUAACAGAACCACAGUAGUGACAAUCCUGGCUCCUUAACCCACUGAGCCACCAGUGAGCUCUGUAAGAUCUUUAAAUCUUUCAUAGUAGGCCAUGGAGAGUCUCAUUUUGAUGUAUUAAUUUAUCCAUUCAUUUAUCAGAAAUUUGGGGUCUACCAUGUGCCAUAGGUAGGUGCUGCGGAUGCAGCUGAACGCACAGAUAAUCACUCCUCCCCAUGGAGUUGACAUUCUAGUGGUUGGAGAUGGGCAAGAAACAAAUAUGUCAGGUGAUGAGAAAUAAAGCAAGUUCAGGGGAUAGAGUGACAGGGUGCUAUCUUGUGAUCAGGGAAGGGCCUCUCUGAGGAGGUGACACUUGAAUCCCUAACUGAGUUGAAGGAGGGAGACAUGUAGAUAGAAAAAGUGUUCUAGGCAGAUGCAACAGUAAGUGCAAAGGCCCUGAGAUAGAAGUAUGUAUAGAGUGUUUAAGAAACAACAAAGAGGAGUUCCCACUGUCGUACAGUGGGUUAAGGAUCUGGCAUUGCUGCAGCUAUGGCUCAGAUUUAAUCCCUGGCCUGGGAACUUCCAUAUGCUGUGGGUGUGGAGAAAAAAAAAAAAAAAAAAAGAAAAGAAAAACAAAGAAGGAAGGAAGAAAGAAAUACAAAAGAGGGUCAUGCUCUGAGAAUGGAGUGAGUGAUGGGAAGAGAGUGGGAGAUAAUUAGAAAUGAAUAUCCAGGGAUCAGGAUAUGUAAGAGGCCUCAUGGUUGUGGUUUUGAAUCUAAAUUAGAGAGGAAAUCCUUGGAAAGUUUUGAAAUGGGGAGAGACAUUUUCUUUCUGUUUCAACAGAAUUAGUCUGCGGAUGUCCUUUGUUACUAUGACUUGAAAUCCAAAAGUAACAAGAACAACAAAGAUGAGUAAUUCUGAAACAUAAAAAUAAGACCAAAUAUCACCACAGAAAAGUUAAAAAAAAAACUGGGAGAAAAUAUUUGCACUUCAUAUUAUAGACUCCCUAAUGUCCAUCAUAUGUAAAGAGUUUCUCAGAAUGAAUAAUAAAAUAUAUACAAUCCCAGAGGGAAAAACUUGAGCAAAAAGUAUAGUCAGAAUGUCCACUGAGAAUGAAACACAAAAGUUCUUUAAUACAUGAAAUGAUACUGGGCCUCUCAUAAGCUUCGUGCCAGUUAAAAUAAGAGAAACAUGUAAUACUAAUUUUUAUAAAACUUUGGAAAGAUCAAUAAUGCCCAGGAUGCUGAGGCUGUGGGGAAGCGAGCUAGUUAACAUGUGGACAUCAGUCCUCCCCAGUGGAGAUGAAUUUGAUGAUGUUCAUAAAAAUUACACUCUCAUACUAAGUGAAGUAAGUCAGAAAGAGAAAGAUAAAUACUUUAUGAUAUCACCGAUAUCUGGAAUCUAAUAUACAGCACAAAUGAACCUUUCCACAGAAAAUAAAUUCAUAGACUUGGAGAACAGACUUGUGGUUGCCAAGGGGAAGGGGGAGGGAGUGAGAUGGACUGGGAAUUUAGGGUUAAUAGAUGCAAACUAUUGCCUUUGGAAUGGAUAAGCAAUGAGAUCCUGCUGUAUAGCACAGGAAGCUAUAUCUAGUCACUUGUGAUGGAACAUGAUGGAGGAUAAUGUAAAAAAAAAGAAAAAAAAAUAUGAGACUGGGUCACUUUGCUGUACAGUAGAAAAUUGACAGAACACUGCAAAGCAACCGUAAUGGAAAAAAUAAAGAUCGUUUAAAAAAAAGAAAAGGAAUGUGUUUCAAAAAAAUUACAAAUGCAUAGCUUCUUUGGCCAAGUAAUCCCAUGACAGAAAUACUUGCACAUGUGUGAAAUGAUGUCUGCACCCAAGGUUAUUCAUUGCAACCAUUUCUAUCUUAGCGAAAGACUGGAAAGAGCCCAAAGAUUCAUCACUACAGUUGCCUAAAUUAUAAUCCAUCUACACAAUGGAAUAUAUUGCAGCUGAACCAAAGAAUGAGGAAGUCUGCUCAGGCUAAUCUGGAAAACCUUCCAAGAUGUAUUAUUCCAGGAAAGAAGCAGAGUUCACACUUAUGUGUAUAGUAUGUUGCCUUUGUGAAUAAGUUUUAAAAAGUAUGUUUUCUGCAGUUUCCGUCAUGGCUCAGCGGUAGUGAACCUGACUAGUAUCGAUGAGGACUUGGGUUCAGUCCCUGGCCUCACUCAGUAUGUUAAGGAUCCAGCGUUGCCUUCAGCUGUGGUGUAGGCUGGCAGCUUCAAUUCGACCCCUAGCCUGGGAACUUCCAUAUGCCAUGGGUGCUACCCUAAAAAGAUAUAUAUAUAUAUUCAAUUUUUUCCAUGGAAAUACCCUAUAUUUAUUUUUAAAGUUGUGGUAAAAUAUACAUACCUUAAAAUUUACCAUUUUGACC